rnacentral:lncRNA from 1 species
GCAACUCCUGCACAGAGCUCGGGUUGAUUAAUAAUUCGAGCAGGGUCAUAUUUGAUGGCAUAAUGUGGGGGUAGUAACUGUUCCUCGAUAACAUACAUGCUACUCAGUUCUUAAGGACGGUUCCCAUGAGACACUCCAUCAUGUACUCCUACAUGUUAUUACGUCUCCAAUGUAUAUAUAAUUUUUGAUUGUUCCAUGCUAUCAUAUUAUCAUUCUAGGAUGCUUUUUAGGCAUUUAUUUGAUGAUUUAUAUUAUUUUUUUGCACUAACCUAUUAAUCCAGUGCCAAGUGCCAAUUGUUGUUUUCUGCAUGUUUUUGGCUUUUCAAGAAUACUGUCCCAAACGAAGUAAAAAUAUCCCAAAACUUAUUGAUGAUUUUUCCUAUACAAAAUAAGGACCUAGAAGCUUCGGACGGGGACUGGAGGCCCCACGAGGUGCCGCCAAGCCAACAGGUUGCGCCACAGGGAGUGGUCGCGCCUUGAUGGCUUGGGGCCACCUCACAUGGCCUCUAGCCCUCCUUUCUGUCCUAUAAAUUCACAUUCAUCCCAAAAACCCUAAGGAGCCUCCCGAAACACUUCUUCCACCAACGCAAGUGUCUGUUUCGCCGUGUGAGCAUUUGGAGCCCUGCUCCGAUGCCCCAUAGGAAGGGGGUUGAUCAUGGAGGGCCUCUACAUCAUCCAUGCUGCUCCCAUGGUGAUGUGUGAGUAGUUUACCACAGACCUACGAGUCCAUAGGUAGUACCUAGAUGGCCAUCUGUAGCGACAUGGUUUUCGGAAAAUAAUUUCCAGAAAACAGGUCUCUGUGUUAACCAGCCCCAGGAUUGCUGUUAGCUGGUAGGCACUUACUUGAUACAGAAUAUCCAAGCAAAAAUACAAAAUCUGGGUUACAAGACCAUGAAGGUCCACUGGGUUGAACAAAAGUCUGAGGUUGACGGCGGAAGCGACUCGAGGACUCUCAAGUGCCCAUGGGACUCCAUUACCAUAGGAACAGCUGACGUGGAUAAAUUCCUAUCUCACAAGGCUGUUAUCCUUAACUCCUAGGUUCCGGGGUUGACGACAUCGUACUCCUCUCGGAACGCAAUCUGGCCAAGAGAAUAGCCAGGGACAAGCCAGUGAGUAGUUUGAAUGUACUCGCAAACAUCAAGAAAACAAAUAAGUUAAAGCAGGUGAGAUGCAAGCAAAUUUCCACUAACAAUUAUAUCUGGCCAUUACAGUUUAAUUCAUGAAUGCAUUCGUACAGAUACAAACAUUUUCCACCGAUGUUUUAUAAACAAGCAAGGACGGUAAUAAUGAAUAAUAUGCAUGCCGCAGUCGGGCGUCGGAGCGACACCAUAGAAAGGGCUUAAGAAAUAACAAUAAGCAUGCCUUAGCCGGGCGUCUAAUCGACACCACGAAAAGGGCUUAUAAGAAAUGAUAAUAAGCAUGUCGCAGUCGGGUGUCUCAGCGACACCACAAAAAGGGCUUAUAAGGAAUAAUAAUAAACAUGCCACAGUCGGGCGUCUGAGCGGCACCACAUAAAGGGAUUAUAAGAAAUAAUAAUAAAUAUUGAAUAUCCAAGAGGUAGAACCGUCCCAGGGAUAUUCAACAAUAUAACCAUAGUGGUUAGUCCAUAGUAAUAAUAAUAAUAUGAUCAUGUCCCACAUCAUCAUAUGAUUUUCCAAAACCAUUAUUGUUAUCACCGCUUAUACUCCAAAGACCGACUCUAGGACCGACACUUGACUCGUCAAACAACGUCCUUGAUCGGGGACACGACUACUCGAAUAGUUUUAACUCUGUAGAGGGUGUACUCUUUACCCACAGCUCACGGUUCUCGAUAGUCGACAAGACUAAUCCUACGUAUGGUAUUUUAGAAGCGGACACUUAGAACCAACACACACCCAUUUUACCUUAGCGAAGCCCGGCUUCACCCGGAAUACGUUGCCAAGGCAAAAUCAAAAGACAGGGAGGCUCCGACCUCGACUAGCAUGGGAUCAAAAUUUAUACCGCCCGCUCACGGGGAAGGGCCAUUCACUCCCGGUCGUAGACCGGGAACACCCACGCCCCCUGACCGGAUGACUGGAUUUAGUCCAGGGCCCUGGAUACCUUGAUCCCGGCCCCUCUACUUGGUGUGUGACUGAUGAUAGGUCUACAACUGACUUUACUAAAUCCAUUAUCUAGGAAACUGUGGUAGCACGUUAUAGAAGUAUUACACGGACAAGACUCAAUCUAGGUCGAUACUGGAGUUAACCAAGUUUUACCGGCAUCAUCGCGCACAUGUCAUGACCAGGCCAUAACCUAUCACGUUCCGCGUGACUGGGUUAUCCCACGACCUUUCAUAACUAUCACAUGCCAUCAUCAUAUUUUACCAUUAUUAUAAUAUGAGUAGCAUGUAUGAAAUAUGCAAAGUAUUAUUUCAUGCGAGAUUAUUAUCAACAUAACCUCAAAUCACGCAAUUUAUGCACCACUACAAUCAUCACACAACUUUAUGCAAAUUUGGAUUCAAGAUGCCUGCCUUAGGGGUUUUAGGAGGGUGAUGUGUACCCCACAUCUUGGAGUAGGUAUCCUCUCUUCAAAAUCCUAGUUUGAAAUAUAUUUGAAUCAACACACAAACAUAAAAAAGCACACAAAAGUUAUUUGAAUAAUUUUUAAAUAAAUCUUAAAAUAAACUAGAUGAAAUUCCAAACAGGUAGGAAAAAGAAUCAAUUGAUUUGGAGUUUCCUAUACAAAUUUAGAGCCAGUCAAACUUUCUAGUCAACUUUGUUUUAACCCAAUAUAAAUGAAAACGUUUUGGAAAUGAAUGCACUUUUUAGAACUGAAAACGUAUUAUGUGGGAGGUGCUUAUCUACGGGGGAGGCGCACCAGCAGGGCAGCGCCACUCGGGGCUAUGGCUGGCUCGCCGAUAGGCGGGGGCCCCCUAUCGGAUCUUCAUGCUUCCUCCCGCGCGAGCCUGGUAUCGGAUCUUCAUGCUUCCUCCCGCGCGAGCCUGGGCGGAGAAGAGGCAACCUUUAGGCGAGGCUCACUGGCGGAACAAGGCACUUCCCGUUGCGCUCCAACUAUGCACAUGCUCGUGGGGGCAUGCCGCAUCCAUUUUUGGCCGUUAGGAGAGCAACAGAGCUCUGGGCUGGGCGGAGCUUCAAUAAUGGCGAAUGAAGUCUCUGGUUCGGUUACUUCGUCCUACAGUGGCUCUUCCUCGAGCUCGAGCGGCGGUGAGGUUUAGAGAGGGUCCUGGGAGUGUGGUUGGUGUGGUGGGGUGCAGCUAGGGGCUUCGGCUGUGGCGUAUCUCAAUAGAGUGUUGCGGUGGUGCUAUUGUGAGAGACGAGCAGCUCCGGUCAAACUGGGGCGAGGGGGAGCGAGCUGAGGGCCACGGGAGGCUGCU